AUCUGGUUACCAUGACUCAGGCUUUGUGCCGAGGAUAUGUCAUGAGGAAGGAGUUUGUCAAAAUGAUGGAGAGGAGGGAGUCAAUUUAUUCCAUCCAAUACAACAUCCGCUCAUUCAUGAAU